AGUUCUGGGUGACUGAUUCACUGAUCAGCUUGGUUUGGGUUUCAUAAAACACUGUGCUGGAACAUUGAGUCGGUACUUCUCCCAAGUUUCCAGUUCGGAGGCACGAGGAGAAUGCUAAAAGCUCGAAUAUGCAAAUGAACAUUUGGACAGAUUUCCUCUAGAGUUUCGGCCUCCAGGCAAAUGAUUUAUUCCGUGCAGAAAUGCAUUUUUGUUUCUGCUUAACGGGUGAAAAAGGAGAAAAGAUUUUUCGGGACAACCAAGCUUAGGAAUAAAAGUCUCCAUGGGAAAUGUACUUUUCUGAAAGCAAAUGUUGGCUAAACAAGGACAGUGUUGACUAAACACGUGUUCCCCUCACCCAAAGGAAUGGAGUCAGAGAAUCCCCCAAGCUCCAAAUUGUGGGGGCAGAUGGAUCUCUUAGAAGUUCACGGUUCACCUUUCUCCUGCCCAGCCCCAUACCUUAAGCAAAGUGUGGGAUGGUCUCGGGAGGACACCCACAAAUGUAAGUAGGAAGGUGGGAAGCAGCCUCUCCUCUAAUAUAGAAAAACAACUGUGACAGACAGAACAAAGCAUGUGGUUCAGACACGAGACCCUGAGCUAGCCCUGGGGAGGGAGACAGCAGCUCUGCAGCCAUUAUCCUCAGGAAGCCCUGAGCGCUGAGAGGCACUGUUACAGAACCGAACUGGGGUCCAAGCGCUAGGCCUACCUAGGUGCCUGGAAUUUCCCUUCGAGGAACGCAGGAGUUUUCUUUAUUUUCAUGCUUGGGAAGGCUCAUUAGGCCCCUAAGAGGGGGUCCCUUCCCCAUCUCAGGACUAAAAUGCAAUGAAGAUGUUGCUCAGAGGCAGCUGGAGAGGGAUGGGUCUGUGGAGGAUGCCCCGCAGAGUGAAGCCGAGAUGAUGCAGCCACCAGGGCCGGAGGGGAGGGACAUUUCACUUUUUAAAUCAGCUUUCUGAUCUCCAUAUAAUCACCUAGAAGCGUACAGCACAAUGAUCUUGACAGAUGCCAGCAUCCUUGGAACCACUGCCACCACCAGCAUCUCAAACCAUUCCAUCAAACCCAGAACACUCCUGGUGCCCUGAGGCGUCUCCCUUCAAUGGAAGAACCAGCAGAGAUUCAGUGGUCACAAGGCUGGUAUCGAACUCCUGGGUGCAAGCGAUCCUUCCACCUCGGCCUCCCAAAGUGCUGGGAUUACAGGCAUAAGCCACCGUGCCCAGCCAGGAAUGGAUUUUCUCACAGUUCUCGAUGGCGGAAGUCUGAGAUCAAGGUCUUGGCAGGGCUGGGUCUCUCUGAGACCUUUCUCCCCAGCUUACAGGUUGCCGCCUCCUCUCUCUGUCUUUCCUUGUCUUCUUUGUGUCCACAGUUGUGUCCAAAUUCCCCUUUCUCAUAAGGAUAUCAGUCAUGUUGGAUUAGGGCCCUCCCUCCUGACCUUGUUUUAGCUUAAUCUCUGUAACUUAACCCUUAACCUCAGUAAAGAUCCUAUUUCCAAAUGUGU